UGCCUCCAGUGCUGCUGUGCCCGGCCCAGGGAGGAGCUGGAACUGCUGAGAGGGUCCAGAGGAGGCCACCAGGGAAACCCCUGUCUCUUGUGUACUGGAGAAGGAAUGGUGUGUGUGCCAUCCUGUGCUGGCUUUGCUGCCAUCCUCAGCAUCCUCCACUGGAAGGUCAGGAGUGCUGUGCUCUGCCCAGAGUGCAGCUUGUCUGAUCUGAACAGACCAGUGAUCUCCUCAGCUGUGCUCCUGAGAGGGAAGUUCUUCAUUAUCCACAGAGAAGUUUUCUUGUAAUCAUGGUUCUGCUGUUUCUUCAGGUGCCUGAAUCUGUGUGCUCCCACUUGUAUUUUGUUCACAGCAACCUUAACAUCUUUCUUAGAGCUCUUUGGGAUGUGCAGGCAGCAGUGCAUGCAGUGAGAUGUGUGCAAGCUGCUGCAGCAAGACAAGACCAGCAGCAGUGCUAAGAAGGAAUGCAGUGAGCAGUGCUGCCAGGCUUUUCUCUUUGAGAGUCUCACACACUCUAAUAGAUGCCAGCUCUUAGCUAAAGCAUUCCAAGCUGUCUGUGCUUGAUCUCCAGGAGCAGCAACUGCUGUCCUUGCUGCUCCUUCCCUGCUGUGGUGAUUCCAACUGGGUACCAACCUCCUUCCCAUGCCAAACCCAAUUGUCACCAAAUAUCGCUGCCCCAUAAGUGCCAGCAGCAGCUCUCUGGGCUGCCUAAGGAAGUGGCUGUGUCCAGUUAUGCCUGCUGAGGUGGAGACCUGCAUAGCAACGAGGGAAAAGGAUUCAAAAGGCUUUUGGAUAAUGAGUGGCUGCAGGUGAUUGCAUAAAUACUGUGUGCUGCUGAUACUGGACAGGAUGAAGUCUUUGAAUCAUAUAGACAGAGUUGGCUUUUGAACUUGUAGCCCCUUUGAUUUAUUGGCUGCUGCCUCAGGAGUUUCUGUCUGGUUUAAAAUCAUGUCUGAAUUAUGUUUCUUCUAGCAGUUAUUUCCUGGCUUAGCUGUUCUGUGACUCUGUGUUUCCUUUCACUUACUGCUUAUCUUAAUCACUCUUAACUUUGCAAGUCUCCAUUUUGACUUCAUUUUCAAUAAACCUGUGCCUGUGUAAUAAAACCUCCCCAAAAGUGGCAAUUCUUAGCCAAGAGCUAAGCCAGCUCAGCUGUGCUUGUUUGCAAUGAAACUGCAAGCUCAUUAAACCAUAACAUUCAUUUACUUGUUGCCAGCUCAGAUGUGCUAUGAUGAAUCUAUCAUCUGCUCCUUUCAACCUCAGCCUUUGUAUGGCUUAGAUAUCAAUGCAUGUGUGCAGGUAGAGAGCAAAUGAACAUCAGGGAGCCCUUACUAGAAGGAUGAAAUAAGUCUGUUAACUACUCAGGCUUGUG